GGGUGCGAUCAUACCAGCGUUAAUGCACCGGAUCCCAUCAGAACUCCGCAGUUAAGCGCGCUUGGGCUAG
rnacentral:rRNA from 1 species